CACAGCUCCUCUGGGCCAGGACAGCGUCCUAAGGGAAGGGACAAAGAGGGAGCCACGAGGAGAGAGCGGAGGGAGCAGGAGGACAGGAGGACUGUGCAGGGGAGAAGGAUGAGCAAGGCCCUGAGCCCCUCUGCACCACUGGUCCAGCUGGGAACUCUGCAGCCCGUGCUGGGAAGGUACCAAACUUCUGUAGCCAGUCUCCCUGGAGACAAGACCCAGUCCUCCCUUCCUCAGGUCUGUUAAUUUCUCACUCCUCAGCAAACUUCUGGCCUCAUGUCCUGUCCUUGAAAAGUCACACUAAUCACAGAUACUUUCUUCCAGGCCAAAUGAUCCAUUCAAGGCUGAUAAAGACUUGGCUGACCUCAGCACAGGAAGUUCUGAGAGGUGAAGGACAUUUUCGGGUACUUCUAAAAUAAAUCCUUUCCUUCUUGCCUUUGACCCUAGGGCAUCCUAGAGUCCACAGUCUGUCAUGGAAUGUAGAAGCAUAGCCAGGUUACCUUCUGGGCCUCUAUUUCCUUCUUUAUAAAAUGAUCUUAAAGACAUCCUUUAGCUGUGAUGUAGGAUACUGUGUACCUGGGUCAGCUGGGUUAGGACAGCCUUGGGAAUCUCAAGCAUUUUCCAAGGAUUUCUAUUGUGUAAUUUGCAAUCUAGAAAGGAUCAGCCCAGAGGUGCAGCUUCUUUUAAAAAGCAGGUCUAGUUCUGAUCAAACAGAAGACCUAAAUGUCUGGUUGGACUUGGGUCUGCUUCAGAUUUCCAGGAAACAUGAAGCAUAACGAUGUAUAAUCCUUUAAGACCUAGAUCCUUCACUGACUCCAAGCAGAGCUGGGAACAGCAGCUCAGGAAAGGGAUGAAAAGGCGAACACGUCUGGGUUUCCCCCGUGUUACGUGGAAGGGUUGUGGGCUUGGGAUUCUAAAUAUGAAACUUCUGGGAAAUGGUGGGGGCUCUAGGGAGAGCCAGAGGGAGGGCAGAACUAUAAACCAAGCAGGAAUUGAGUGUAGGAGUCGCUGUCCUGAAAGGGGGAGGGGAAUGAUGGGACACAAACUGUGGAUGGUUUCUGGCCAGGGAAACUCACUCUGCACACAUGAGGCACACUGGUCCCCUGUCCUUGCUCUUGGUGCCCCAGGGCAGCUCCCGGAGUUUUCUUUGGCUUAGAGAAGCAGAGGCCUCCCCCGAGCCCCGGCCCCCCUUUACCGCAAAGCAACUGGCUUCUAUUACCCCUGACAGCCCAGCAACAGCCCAGCCCCCGGCCCUGUCUGGCUCCUCGCCGUUCCCUUUUAUGGUGAAGCUCAGAGAAAGCAAGGAGUGAGGGGGAGAAGGUUCUAGCUGGGCAGAGGGUUGCAGAGCUCCAGUGCACUACUCCCCUCACCGGAGGCCCGCCGGCCGCCUACCGCAGCCACCCCCUUUUUCUGACCCGAACCCGCGACCUUGCUCGCCUGUCUUGGCCUUCCCUCCCUUCCCCCGUCCCUCAUAUCCGGGAGGUGGUUAUUUCCCGCAUGGCCCGGGUCCCAUGGUUUGGGUGUUGAUUCGGGGAGGGUCUGCCUUCUCUCACUUCCAUCUCCAGGAGUGGGGUGGAGGCCAGGAUCCCGCGCAAGGGAGGGACUGGUCAGGUCUCAGUCAGGGUCGGCCUGCUUGGUCGGAUGGAGUCGAAAAGGCUGAGCCGGCAAGAGGAGCACCGGGAGCCUCAGCCCUGACCCAUGCUGCGCCGCCUUUCACUCGGUUCCCACCACCCGAGCCAGGGAGGGGGCCGUGAGAGCAGGACUCAAAGGAAGCACCUGGCCGGGCCGGGCCGGGCCGACCGGGAAGCGAAGGGCGGGCAGCAGCGCGGGGAUCGGCGCACGCAGCGGGCUGGGACCCGCGGUCAGUCCGAGUCUCCCGCCCGGCCCCGCUGCCGCGGCUCAGCCAGUCCUUGACUCCGCAGCGCAGCCACCACAGCUUCGCUAAGCGCGCCCCGGGCAGCAACAGCUGCGGCCAGCUGCGGCCAGCUGCACGGCUCCGGGCGGAAGCGCGUCUCCGCGGCACCCACACAGCGAGGGACGCCCUCCCGCGGCGGGCCCGAGAGCCCGCCCCCCGCGCGCGGCGCUGGAGCAGGCGAGAUAGCGGGCUAGAGUGGCCGUUCUGAGGCGCCGGCCGGCCGGCCGGAAGUCGCUGAUCCGCCCCAGCUGGCGCUGCGAAGUUCCGGCCUAGCGCUCGCUUGUGCGUAGGCCGAGUCGGAGCCGCGGCGGAAGGCAGUGCAGCUGGUCAGGAUGAUCACCGACGUGCAGCUCGCCAUAUUCGCCAACAUGCUGGGCGUGUCGCUCUUCUUGCUUGUCGUUCUCUAUCACUACGUGGCCGUCAACAAUCCCAAGAAACAGGAAUGAAAGUGGCGCGUUCUCUGCCCCAGGGUUCCAGGACAUAGUCUGAGGCCAGAUGGAGGGUGUGAGGGGCCUUCACACUUCAUCCCUUCUGCCCAUCACAACAUACAAAGCAACUACACCUGGAGUUUUCCAAACAAGUUUUAUUUCCUCAAAGUCUUCUUAACCUUAUGGAACAAGAAGCUGCCACUGAAUAGGGCCCAGUAUGGGGGCUGUUUUCUUUUCUACUCCCCAAUACAAAAAUAUAUAUAUAUAUAUAUAUUUUGUGGUCCCAAACGUUUGUGCUGUGGAGGGAGGGGAGGGGUAGUAAGUCCCUGCUUGGUGCUGUGUCAGUGUGAAGCCCUGCAGUGCUUCACACGGUGUGACUGGCAUUCCGAGGAGUUAGGCUGUCACAUGGCGUCAGCAGCUGAGAGAGGAGGCCAGCAGAGUUUUCACUGUGUUUCCCCCCUUUGGGCAUUAAGGAAAAGGCAUUUUCAGACUCGGGGAGAAAUGGUGAGUGGAGGAGAUUUAGGGAUGAAACAAACCUCAGGUUGGCCCAAGGGACCCCCACUGUAACAAAUCCGGGGUGGGCAGUCAGAUAGAGUACAGGACAUAGGAGAAAAGGCAGGGGCAGAGUGGGGCCGUGGGAGGCCGACCUGAGGCAGCCUGCAACAGAGAAGAAAGAGGAAUCAGGGCUGUGGAAACACCACCUCUUCUGGUCUGUCGAUUGGGCUUCGAGGAACCAUUGCAAUGCUGGUAGACUGACCCUCAUUCAAAGUCGAGAUCUAACUGCCGAGACGCGAGGCCCAGGGCCACCUCUUCUUGGCAGGCCACCUCUGCACAAGCCUUCUUGCUAAAAUGCUGCCUUCCCUCCCUGCGUGGCCUGACCCUUGCCUCCUAACCUCAACACUUCCCACACGCACACGGCAUCUUCAGGACUCGUACCUGGGUGUUCUCAUCGUUAAAGCUGUUCCCAUACAUGAAGCAGCCCCUUUUGGACGCAUGUCCGUGCAGGUCCACAUAAAUGGUGAAAAGCACAAGAGGAUUGGGAAUAGAGAAGAAGCUAGAAAGUUUCACUGAGAAGCAGGGCACAGGAGGCCGGACACAAUCCAGACAGGCUGGGGCAGCAACUUACCGGUAAUGACCCCGAACCACACCGUCAGGGUUCAACAUGGGAAUCAGCUUAAAGACAAAGAGGCGACGUAGGGUUUGGGCUCGAGGGUCAUCAGGCCGAAGGAUGAAGUCCAGAAAGCCAUUGAAGACAAAACUAGAUGGAGUCUCCCCAGGGUGUACUCUACUGCUUAAGAAGAAUAUCUGAGAUAAAAAGGACAGACAUGAGGUCAGGUGUGCUAGAGUUCUGCUCUGACAUACACAUGGCAGCACGAAGGCACGAAGAACCACUGGACUUCAGCUGGCUGAGUAUGUAUGCAAGCGGAGUCCCUGCCUCGGGAUGCAGGCUCAGCUCUUCAGGCCAACUCAUAGCAGCCUUAAGCUCUUCACAAUGGCAAAAUUAGAGAAAGGACACAGUGCUGUCUUUAGGGUAUCCCCACUCACCCUUUUGCCUGUGAAACGGAAUGGUCGAGGGGUACUGGUAUCAGGAAAUAGCUGCUCUAGACGGGGCUCUCUGUCUUCCCGAAGCCCAUGGCAAGAGGUGAUUGUUAGCAGGUCUACACGGAGUCCGUCCAGGGAAUAGCAGAGGAGUUCUCUGUGGUAAUAGAUGGUGUCCAGGGGACUGCAGGGAUAAAAAUCAUUAAGCCAAGAGAAGUCCUUCACAUUCUAGCAAGAAGUAGGCCUUGUCACUAGCCCAGGAACUGUGAAGUCUGGUCCUUCACCCUAAUCUCUGGCACCCCACAAUCCCUCCUACUAUGUAUGAAGCUAAGGAUUUGGACGCGUGUGCAUUGCCAGAAUGCAGAGUGUAGGAUGGGGUGCACUUUUGUUUUCCCCAUUUGUGGUCCCAGUGGGAUAAUUUUGCGUACACAGAAGCGUUGCUCUCAGUGGGGUAAGACCCAGAAAUGCUGGUGAAAUUCUGGGUACCAACCAGACUAGGGUUGGAAGAGACGUGAAGGAGGCGAAGUGAGAGAAGUGUGAAGUGGGGGUGGUGGUAUGCUGAGAUCAGGGUCACACAGAAAAGGGGUUUCCAAACGUGUCCAAAGCCCCACGGGAUUCUACACAGAGCAGAGACUGACCAAGUUCUGUUCAGAGCUCUGAGAGCAGACUCCAGCAGUAGCAGAAGCACCUACUUAUCCCAGAUGGGGCGCGGCAGUGAGAGUGGGGCUGGCACCUGCUCUGAGUAGGGCAGUUCUCUGGAAAGCGCUGGUCUAGCUGCUUUAGCAAGUCCUGGCAGUCGCUGUAGGAGAAGGGGUAGCAGAAGGCGAAGAAGGUGGUAGCCCCUCGGCCCUCCACGAAACGGUGAACAAAGGACAACACGAACUGUGUCUCUGUCAUCUGAGAAGCAGAGGAAGGAGGGGCGACAUGUGCUCCGCGAACCGUGCUUCUGUCGGGGCUCCGGGAACACACUUCACCGCGUUCUUGGCUUUGCCAGCUCCCCCCGCUCCAUCCCUUCCACCUGACAGCCAGCUCGCAGGCUUCCUAAGAGAGCUCAUCCUGGGUCCUGCUGCUUAUCACUGUCUAUCAAAUACAAACUUCCUGUUUACCUUC